rnacentral:tRNA from 1 species
GGCGCGGUGGUCAAGCGGUUAAGACACCACCCUUUCACGGUGGUAACACGAGUUCGAUUCUCGUCCGCGUCA